rnacentral:rRNA from 1 species
CAUGCAGUCGAGCGGAACGAUGAUAGCUUGCUAUCAGGCGUCGAGCGGCGGACGGGUGAGUAAUACUUAGGAAUCUACCUAGUAGUGGGGGAUAGCACGGGGAAACUCGUAUUAAUACCGCAUACGACCUACGGGAGAAAGGGGGCAGUUUACUGCUCUCGCUAUUAGAUGAGCCUAAGUCGGAUUAGCUAGAUGGUGGGGUAAAGGCCUACCAUGGCGACGAUCUGUAGCUGGUCUGAGAGGAUGAUCAGCCACACCGGGACUGAGACACGGCCCGGACUCCUACGGGAGGCAGCAGUGGGGAAUAUUGGACAAUGGGGGAAACCCUGAUCCAGCCAUGCCGCGUGUGUGAAGAAGGCCUUUUGGUUGUAAAGCACUUUAAGCAGUGAAGAAGACUCCGUGGUUAAUACCCACGGACGAUGACAUUAGCUGCAGAAUAAGCACCGGCUAACUCUGUGCCAGCAGCCGCGGUAAUACAGAGGGUGCAAGCGUUAAUCGGAAUUACUGGGCGUAAAGGGAGCGUAGGUGGCUCGAUAAGUCAGAUGUGAAAUCCCCGGGCUCAACCUGGGAACUGCAUCUGAUACUGUUGAGCUAGAGUAUGUGAGAGGAAGGUAGAAUUCCAGGUGUAGCGGUGAAAUGCGUAGAGAUCUGGAGGAAUACCGAUGGCGAAGGCAGCCUUCUGGCAUAAUACUGACACUGAGGCUCGAAAGCGUGGGUAGCAAACAGGAUUAGAUACCCUGGUAGUCCACGCCGUAAACGAUGUCUACUAGUCGUUGGGUCCCUUGAGGACUUAGUGACGCAGCUAACGCAAUAAGUAGACCGCCUGGGGAGUACGGCCGCAAGGUUAAAACUCAAAUGAAUUGACGGGGGCCCGCACAAGCGGUGGAGCAUGUGGUUUAAUUUCGAUGCAACGCGAAGAACCUUACCUGGUCUUGACAUAUCUAGAAUCCUGCAGAGAUGCGGGAGUGCCUUCGGGAAUUAGAAUACAGGUGCUGCAUGGCUGUCGUCAGCUCGUGUCGUGAGAUGUUGGGUUAAGUCCCGCAACGAGCGCAACCCUUGUCCUUAGUUACCAGCGGGUUAAGCCGGGAACUCUAAGGAUACUGCCAGUGACAAACUGGAGGAAGGCGGGGACGACGUCAAGUCAUCAUGGCCCUUACGACCAGGGCUACACACGUGCUACAAUGGUAGGUACAGAGGGCAGCUACACAGCGAUGUGAUGCGAAUCUCAAAAAGCCUAUCGUAGUCCAGAUUGGAGUCUGCAACUCGACUCCAUGAAGUAGGAAUCGCUAGUAAUCGCGGAUCAGAAUGCCGCGGUGAAUACGUUCCCGGGCCUUGUACACACCGCCCGUCACACCAUGGGAGUUGAUUGCACCAGAAGUGGAUAGCUUAACCUUCGGGGAGGCG